UCGCCCCGUUCCGAGUCCGGCGGACGAACUUCGCCCGCGCCCCCCACCAAGGCUAUAGCCCACGACCCGUUUUUUGGCCAUUUUUCCGCUGGGGGGUUUUGGCAUCACGACCUUCGGGCGCUUGUUUUUGGGCGCGGCUUUGCCUUCGGCUUAUUUUUGGCACCCCGAGGCCCCUCGCAAAGUCUCGUCCCAUUCCGAGUCCGGCGGACGAACUUCGCCCGCGCCCCCCACCAAGGCUAUAGCCCACGACCCGUUUUUUGGCCAUUUUUCCGCUGGGGGGUUUUGGCACCACGACCUUCGGGCGCUUAUUUUUGGGCGCGGCUUUGCCCGCGGCUUAUUUUUGGCACCCCGAGGCCCCUCCCAAAGUCUCGCCCCAUUCAGAGUCCUGCGGACGAACUUCGCCCGCGCCCCCCACCAAGGCUAUAGCCCACGACCCGUUUUUUGGCCAUUUUUCCGCUGGGGGGUUUUGGCACCCUGACCUUCGGGUGCUUAUUUUUGGGCGCGGCUUUGCCGGCAGCUUAUUUUUGGCACCCCGAGGCCCCUUGCAAAGUCUCGCCCCAUUCCGAGUCCGGCGGACGAACUUCGCCCGCGCCCCCCACCAAGGCUAUAGCCCACCCGUUUUUUGGCCAUUUUUCCGCUGGGGGGUUUUGGCACCACGACCUUCGGGCGCUUAUUUUUGGGCGCGGCUUUGCCCGCGGCUUAUUUUUGGCACCCCGAGGCCCCUCGCAAAGUUUCGCCCCAUUCCGAGUCCCGCGGACGAACUUCGCCCGCGCCCCCCACCAAGGCUAUAGCCCACCCGUUAUUUGGCCAUUUUUCAGCUGGGGGGUUUUGGCACCACGACCUUCGGGCGCUUAUUUUUGGGCGCGGCUUUGCCCGUGGCUUAUUUUUGGCACCCCGAGGCCCCUCGCAAAGUUUCGCCCCAUUCCGAGUCCGGCGGACGAACUUCGCCCGCGCCCCCCACCAAGGCUAUAGCCAAACCGUUAUUUGGCCAUUUUUCCGCUGGGGGGUUUUGGCACCACGACCUUCGGGCGCUUAUUUUUGGGCGCGGGUUUGCCCGCGGCUUAUUUUUGGCACCUCGAGGCCCCUCGCAAAGUCUCGCCCCAUUCCGAGUCCGGCGGACGAACUUCGCCCGCGCACCCCACCAAGGCUAUAGCCCACGACCCGUUUUUUGGCCAUUUUUCCGCUGGGGGGUUUUGGCACCACGACCUUCGGGCGCUUAUUUUUGGGCGCGGCUUUGCCCGCGGCUUAUUUUUGGCACCCCGAGGCCCCUCGCAAAGUCUCGCCCCAUUCCGAGUCCGGCGGACGAACUUCGCCCGCGCCCCCCACCAAGGCUAUAGCCCACCCGUUUUUUGGCCAUUUUUCCGCUGGGGGGUUUUGCUACCACGACCUUCGGGCGCUUAUUUUUGGGCGCGGCUUUGCCCGCGGCUUAUUUUUGGCACCCAGAGGCCCCUCGCAAAGUCUCGCCCCAUUCCGAGUCCGGGCGGACGAACUUCGCCNNNNNNNNNNNNNNNNNNNNNNNNNNNNNNNNNNNNNNNNNNNNNNNNNNNNNNNNNNNNNNNNNNNNNNNNNNNNNNNNNNNNNNNNNNNNNNNNNNNNUUUUUCCGCUGGGGGGUUUUGGCAGCACGACCUUCGGGCACUUAUAUUUGGGCGCGGCUUAUUUUUGGCACCCCGAGGCCCCUCGCAAAGUCUCGCCCCGUUCCGAGUCCGGCGGACGAACUUCGCCCGCGCCCCCCACCAAGGCUAUAGCCCACGACCCGUUUUUUGGCCAUUUUUCCGCUGGGGGGUUUUGGCAUCACGACCUUCGGGCGCUUGUUUUUGGGCGCGGCUUUGCCUUCGGCUUAUUUUUGGCACCCCGAGGCCCCUCGCAAAGUCUCGUCCCAUUCCGAGUCCGGCGGACGAACUUCGCCCGCGCCCCCCACCAAGGCUAUAGCCCACGACCCGUUUUUUGGCCAUUUUUCCGCUGGGGGGUUUUGGCACCACGACCUUCGGGCGCUUAUUUUUGGGCGCGGCUUUGCCCGCGGCUUAUUUUUGGCACCCCGAGGCCCCUCCCAAAGUCUCGCCCCAUUCAGAGUCCUGCGGACGAACUUCGCCCGCGCCCCCCACCAAGGCUAUAGCCCACGACCCGUUUUUUGGCCAUUUUUCCGCUGGGGGGUUUUGGCACCCUGACCUUCGGGUGCUUAUUUUUGGGCGCGGCUUUGCCGGCAGCUUAUUUUUGGCACCCCGAGGCCCCUUGCAAAGUCUCGCCCCAUUCCGAGUCCGGCGGACGAACUUCGCCCGCGCCCCCCACCAAGGCUAUAGCCCACCCGUUUUUUGGCCAUUUUUCCGCUGGGGGGUUUUGGCACCACGACCUUCGGGCGCUUAUUUUUGGGCGCGGCUUUGCCCGCGGCUUAUUUUUGGCACCCCGAGGCCCCUCGCAAAGUUUCGCCCCAUUCCGAGUCCCGCGGACGAACUUCGCCCGCGCCCCCCACCAAGGCUAUAGCCCACCCGUUAUUUGGCCAUUUUUCAGCUGGGGGGUUUUGGCACCACGACCUUCGGGCGCUUAUUUUUGGGCGCGGCUUUGCCCGUGGCUUAUUUUUGGCACCCCGAGGCCCCUCGCAAAGUUUCGCCCCAUUCCGAGUCCGGCGGACGAACUUCGCCCGCGCCCCCCACCAAGGCUACUUCCAAACCGUUAUUUGGCCAUUUUUCCGCUGGGGGGUUUUGGCACCACGACCUUCGGGCGCUUAUUUUUGGGCGCGGCUUUGCCCGCGGCUUAUUUUUGGCACCUCGAGGCCCCUCGCAAAGUCUCGCCCCAUUCCGAGUCCGGCGGACGAACUUCGCCCGCGCACCCCACCAAGG
rnacentral:lncRNA from 1 species